rnacentral:rRNA from 1 species
CUUUGUGGCCUAAAUACCAUAAAGGCACCAGAUCCAAUUUAAUCUUGGAAGCUAAACAGGAUCAUCCCUGGUUAGUACUUGCAUGGGAGACCCCUGACAAAUACCAUGUGCUGCAGGGU